rnacentral:rRNA from 2 species
GAGUUUGAUCCUGGCUCAGGACGAACGCUGGCGGCGUGCCUAAUACAUGCAAGUCGAACGAACUCUGGUAUUGAUUGGUGCUUGCAUCAUGAUUUACAUUUGAGUGAGUGGCGAACUGGUGAGUAACACGUGGGAAACCUGCCCAGAAGCGGGGGAUAACACCUGGAAACAGAUGCUAAUACCGCAUAACAACUUGGACCGCAUGGUCCGAGYUUGAAAGAUGGCUUCGGCUAUCACUUUUGGAUGGUCCCGCGGCGUAUUAGCUAGAUGGUGGGGUAACGGCUCACCAUGGCAAUGAUACGUAGCCGACCUGAGAGGGUAAUCGGCCACAUUGGGACUGAGACACGGCCCAAACUCCUACGGGAGGCAGCAGUAGGGAAUCUUCCACAAUGGACGAAAGUCUGAUGGAGCAACGCCGCGUGAGUGAAGAAGGGUUUCGGCUCGUAAAACUCUGUUGUUAAAGAAGAACAUAUCUGAGAGUAACUGUUCAGGUAUUGACGGUAUUUAACCAGAAAGCCACGGCUAACUACGUGCCAGCAGCCGCGGUAAUACGUAGGUGGCAAGCGUUGUCCGGAUUUAUUGGGCGUAAAGCGAGCGCAGGCGGUUUUUUAAGUCUGAUGUGAAAGCCUUCGGCUCAACCGAAGAAGUGCAUCGGAAACUGGGAAACUUGAGUGCAGAAGAGGACAGUGGAACUCCAUGUGUAGCGGUGAAAUGCGUAGAUAUAUGGAAGAACACCAGUGGCGAAGGCGGCUGUCUGGUCUGUAACUGACGCUGAGGCUCGAAAGUAUGGGUAGCAAACAGGAUUAGAUACCCUGGUAGUCCAUACCGUAAACGAUGAAUGCUAAGUGUUGGAGGGUUUCCGCCCUUCAGUGCUGCAGCUAACGCAUUAAGCAUUCCGCCUGGGGAGUACGGCCGCAAGGCUGAAACUCAAAGGAAUUGACGGGGGCCCGCACAAGCGGUGGAGCAUGUGGUUUAAUUCGAAGCUACGCGAAGAACCUUACCAGGUCUUGACAUACUAUGCAAAUCUAAGAGAUUAGACGUUCCCUUCGGGGACAUGGAUACAGGUGGUGCAUGGUUGUCGUCAGCUCGUGUCGUGAGAUGUUGGGUUAAGUCCCGCAACGAGCGCAACCCUUAUUAUCAGUUGCCAGCAUUAAGUUGGGCACUCUGGUGAGACUGCCGGUGACAAACCGGAGGAAGGUGGGGAUGACGUCAAAUCAUCAUGCCCCUUAUGACCUGGGCUACACACGUGCUACAAUGGAUGGUACAACGAGUUGCGAACUCGCGAGAGUAAGCUAAUCUCUUAAAGCCAUUCUCAGUUCGGAUUGUAGGCUGCAACUCGCCUACAUGAAGUCGGAAUCGCUAGUAAUCGCGGAUCAGCAUGCCGCGGUGAAUACGUUCCCGGGCCUUGUACACACCGCCCGUCACACCAUGAGAGUUUGUAACACCCAAAGUCGGUGGGGUAACCUUUUAGGAACCAGCCGCCUAAGGUGGGACAGAUGAUUAGGGUGAAGUCGUAACAAGGUAGCC